AGGCUAAAGGAAGGCUUAAAUUCAUGAACAUUGCGUCCACAAUAGAUUCGUAAGCAGAGAGUUAUGAGGCCAAAUAGGCCAUUUUUUUCUGGCUGGAUUUAACCCUUGAGCUGUCACCUGUGGUUCCAAAUGGCUGCUUCAAAUUAUCUUUCCUCAUCCCUGAAAACCCCCUGCACCAAACGGCUUUGAUUACCGUCUCCGUCUAUUUCUGUUGUCCUAAAAGGAACAAAUGUGACAAAUUAAAGAAGUGGGUAAACACUA